UACAGUAGUAGGCUGAGUCAGGGCGUC
rnacentral:piRNA from 1 species